rnacentral:tRNA from 1 species
GCNCCCNUCGUCUAGAGGCCUAGGACACCAGCCUUUCACGUUGGGUACACGGGUUCGAAUCCCGUAGGGAGCGCCA